AUGAACGCUGGCGACGUGGAUAAGGCAUGCAAGUCGAGCGCCCCGCAAGGGGAGCGGCAGACGAGGUAGUAACACGUGAGUACGCACCCCAAAGUCAGGAAUAGCCCAUCGAAAGAUGGGGUAAUACUUGAUGGUCCCGAAAGGGUAAAGAUUUAUCGCUUUGGGAGCGGCUCGCGGAGUAUCAGGUAGUUGGUAGGGUAAUGGCCUACCAAGCCGAUGACGCUUAGGGGACCUGAGAGGGUGACCCCCACCGAUAGCACUGAGACACGGGCUAUACACCUACGGGUGGCCGCAGUCGAGAAUCUUCCGCAAUGGACGAAAGUCUGACGGAGCGACGUCGCGUGAUGGAUGAAGUCUUUCGGGACGUAAACAUCUUUUAUGAGGGAGAACGUGGUAUUUAUGCCACACGAUAGUACCUCAGGAAUAAGGGGUUGCUAACUCUGU
rnacentral:rRNA from 1 species